UACGGGGGGGGGCAAGCGUUGUUCGGAAUUACUGGGCGUAAAGGGCUCGUAGGCGGCCAACUAAGUCAGACGUGAAAUCCCUCGGCUUAACCGGGGAACUGCAUCUGAUACUGGAUGGCUUGAGUUCGGGAGAGGGAUGCGGAAUUCCAGGUGUAGCGGUGAAAUGCGUAGAUAUCAGGAGGAACACCGGUGGCGAAGGCGGGGUCUCUGGGCCGAUACUGACGCUGAGGAGCGAAAGCGUGGGGAGCAAACAGG
rnacentral:rRNA from 1 species